ACGGGGGGUGCGAGCGUUGUCCGGAAUCACUGGGCGUAAAGGGCGCGUAGGCGGGCGAUCAAGCGUGCGGUGAAAGCUCGGGGCUCAACCCCGAGUCGGCCGUGCGAACUGCUGGGCUCGAGCACUGUAGAGGCAGGCGGAAUUCCGGGUGUAGCGGUGGAAUGCGUAGAGAUCCGGAAGAACACCGGUGGCGAAGGCGGCCUGCUGGGCAGUGGCUGACACUGAGGCGCGACAGCGUGGGGAGCAAACAGGA
rnacentral:rRNA from 1 species